GUUGCAGUUAAAAAGCUCGUAGUUGAACCUUGGGUCUGGCUGCUCGGUCCGCCUAACCGCGUGCACUGAUGCGGCCGGAUCUUUCCUUCUGGCUAACCUCAUGCCCUUUACUGGGUGUGCUGGGGAUCCAGGACUUUUACUUUGAAAAAAUUAGAGUGUUCAAAGCAGGCCUUUGCUCGAAUACAUUAGCAUGGAAUAAUAGAAUAGGACGGCGGUUCUAUUUUGUUGGUUUCUAGAGCCACCGUAAUGAUUAAUAGGGAUAGUCGGGGGCAUCAGUAUUCAAUUGUCAGAGGUGAAAUUCUUGGAUUUAUUGAAGACUAACUACUGCGAAAGCAUUUGCCAAGGAUGUUUUCAUUAAUCAGUGAACGAAAGUUAGGGGAUCGAAGACGAUCAGAUACCGUCGUAGUCUUAACCAUAAACUAUGCCGACUAGGGAUCGGGCGGUGUUCAAUUAUAGACCCGCUCGGCACCUUACGAGAAAUCAAAGUUUUUGGGUUCUGGGGGGAGUAUGGUCGCAAGGCUGAAACUUAAAGGAAUUGACGGAAGGGCACCACCAGAUGUGGAGCCUGCGGCUUAAUUUGACUCAACACGGGGAAACUCACCAGGUCCAGACACAUUAAGGAUUGACAGAUUGAGAGCUCUUUCUUGAUUAUGUGGGUGGUGGUGCAUGGCCGUUCUUAGUUGGUGGAGUGAUUUGUCUGCUUAAUUGCGAUAACGAACGAGACCUUAACCUGCUAAAUAGCCAGGCUAGCUUUUGCUGGUCGCCGGCUUCUUAGAGGGACUAUCGGCUCAAGCCGAUGGAAGUUUGAGGCAAUAACAGGUCUGUGAUGCCCUUAGAUGUCUGGGCGCACGCGCGCUACACUGAC
rnacentral:rRNA from 1 species